UUUUAUAAAAGCAGGGCAGAUAUGCCUUUCUCUAAAAAAAUGUGUACAUUGUAUCCUUGCUUUAUAUCAGUGAAGUUUUUUGUUAGCUUUAAAACUGUAUACAUCGAUUCCUAAUUGGAUGCAAGUAUACAACGUGAAUGGAAGUUCACGACUUGUUUUAUGUGAUUUUGCUCGGGUCUUGGAAGAAUCAGGCUAAGGAGUGAUUGUAGUGACAACUGAAUGGUGAUGAAGCAAAGUUUGGUAGGUUGCAAAUGCAGGUUAUUUUCAAAUCUGAAACUUCAUUUUGUACAAUGCUAAUAAGACCUGGACAAUUUUAAGUAGCAUAUGAGUCCAAACAAUCUUGGCCUCACCAUAGAUUCGUGGGGAGAACUCUUUUGCUUCUAGAGAAUUGAGUUGGUGAUGUUUAUGAUUGGUAAUUGCUAAGGGUCAUUGUUCCCAAAUUUGCAUUGAAGAAUUAGUCAUUUGCAGUUAUUUAUGUAACCAUAGCCAUCUUUAUUUUUCUGAUCAUCUUUCU
rnacentral:lncRNA from 1 species